UUGACUGAAGCCAAAAGGCUAACCAUUGUUACUGGUUAUAUCGGAGUUACCCUGUCGUU
rnacentral:tRNA from 1 species